rnacentral:rRNA from 1 species
UACGUAGGGUGCAAGCGUUGUCCGGAAUUAUUGGGCGUAAAGAGCUCGUAGGCGGUUUGUUGCGUCGGCUGUGAAAUCCCGAGGCUCAACCUCGGGUCUGCAGUCGAUACGAGCAAACUAGAGUGUUGCAGGGGAGACUGGAAUUCCUGGUGUAGCGGUGAAAUGCGCAGAUAUCAGGAGGGAACACCGGUGGCGAAGGCGGGUCUCUGGGCAAACAACUGAC